GCAGAAUCAAUUUGUGAACCACAUUUGAUCCCCUCAGUUCAAUUACUGCAGAAGCUGCUUCCUGGCUCAGAAGAAUCUCUCAGUUCUGGAUCAUAGCAUUUACUUCUGAGGUAUGGCCAUUUUUGAGUUUCAAUGGAAGACUCUGAAGCUUCAAAUACCAAGGCUCUUUACGUUGUUGGGACUCAAUUUGUUCUCCUCUAUGUUCCAGAUGAGCACACCUUUCAGUCCAUUUGCUGCCAACACCACCUACAGGGAUCCCACAGUAGCCAUUUUCAUUGGGCUAAACAGCACAAAGAGGCUAUUGUCGGAGAGCAGAUGCAGGAGAAGAUUUUGCCAAAUGGCAUAUUCUAAGUUAAUGUGAAAUAACCAAAACACCUGAUAAUCAUGGAAAGUGAGCUUAAGAGUUUAUGAAGAUGCAUUUUGAAAUAACUACUGUGGAAAACCUUCUAAGAGACCACCAGGAGAUGAAUAAGAGGAUAUGUGCAGAAAAGGUCAAGAUAAAUUAACCUUUGGGUGAAGUCGAAUAACCCAACUGAUGGAGCCAGAGAGGAUGGAAGGAAGAUGUGGUCCAAUAUCGUGAACUAAAAAGGUAGUUUGAGUUAAAUUUUAAAGAAUAUCUAUCAUUUUGUAAUUAAGAACUGAUUUUUCUAUUAAUGUAAAUCAUGACCAUUUUGACAGUUUCAAGUAGGUUUAAAAAGUCACGCAUGGUGAUUGUCACUUGGGAAAGGGCAUCUGGCCACUUAGAAAGGUCUCCAAGGGUGGCAUUUCAUUUUCUUUGGUAAAAUUACCACAAUGCAAAUAAUGAUUGUUAUCCCUGAAAACUCAAAAGUCUGAUAUUGUAAGGAAAAAUCGAAAUGUCUAGCUGACUAAGAUAGAGUAAUCACAUUCUCUCCCUCUAUCCAAACUACAUAGGAAGCUAAUUUAAAACUGUAUUGCUAAUUGACUGUAUUUCCCCCAAAGAAAUGAAGAUAAUUGCGGACACUUAUUAAGUGCUCACUGUGUGCCUAAUACCCUUCUAAAUGCUUACAUGUAUUUCUUGAAAUCUCACAACAACCAUGAAAGCAGGAUUCUUGUUAUCUUCAUUUUCUCAGAUAAGAAUAGUUAGAGAGAGACUAACUUGUCUGAGGCUGCAUAAGUAAUAAAUAGUCUAUGAUUUCAAAUGUUUAUGAUUUCAAAUGUUUGUCCUUUCUGUGACAUUGGGG
rnacentral:lncRNA from 1 species